rnacentral:rRNA from 1 species
UGGAGAGUUUGAUCCUGGCUCAGGACGAACGCUGGCGGCGUGCCUAAUACAUGCAAGUCGAGCGGACGAUUCAAAAGCUUGCUUUUGGAUCGUUAGCGGCGGACGGGUGAGUAACACGUGGGCAACCUGCCCUGUAGACGGGGAUAACACCGAGAAAUCGGUGCUAAUACCGGAUAAUACGAAAGGCCGCAUGGUCUUUCGUUGAAAGGCGGCGCAAGCUGUCGCUACAGGAUGGGCCCGCGGCGCAUUAGCUAGUUGGUGAGGUAACGGCUCACCAAGGCGACGAUGCGUAGCCGACCUGAGAGGGUGAUCGGCCACACUGGGACUGAGACACGGCCCAGACUCCUACGGGAGGCAGCAGUAGGGAAUCUUCCGCAAUGGACGAAAGUCUGACGGAGCAACGCCGCGUGAGCGAAGAAGGCCUUCGGGUCGUAAAGCUCUGUUGUUAGGGAAGAACAAGUACCGCAGUCACUGGCGGUACCUUGACGGUACCUAACGAGGAAGCCACGGUAACUACGUGCCAGCAGCCGCGGUA